ensembl:lncRNA
UGAUUCUCUUUGGUCUGAAGAAAACAAGACGGAUUCAUUUGGUUUUAUUUUUAUUAAAAUGUAUUUUCAUUGUUAAAAUAAUAAACAGACGACAUAUUUAACAAUAAUAAUAACACAAUCAUUGGGAAAACAUCUGAAGCAGUUCCUGAGAAGAGAGAAAAGAAGAAAAGUUAUUAACAUGUUAAUGUUGUUAGUGUGUCUGUGUGUACAUCUAAUUGUUAGUGUGUCUGUGUGUACAUCUAAAUGUUAGUGUGUCUGUGUGUACAUUUAAAUAUUAAUGUGUCUUUGUGCAGAACCAGAUGUUUGUGUUUUUGUGUACUUCUGAAUACUAAUGUGUCUGUGUGUACAUCUAAUUGUUAUUGUGUCUUUGUGUACAUCUAAAUAUUAGUGUGUGUCAUUGUUUAGAACCAAAUGAUAGUGUGUCUGUGUGUACAUCUAAUUGUUAGUGUGUCUGUGUGUAGAUCUAUCUGUUAGUGUGUCUGUGUGUACAUCUAAAUAUUAGUGUGUGUCAUUGUUUAGAACCAAAUGAUAGUGUGUCUGUGUGUACAUCUAAUUGUUAGUGUGUCUGUGUGUACAUCUAAUUGUUAGGCGUCCUGAUGGCGUCCCGAUGACGUGGUGUCCUGAUGGUGUCCCGAUGAUGUGGUGUCCUGAUGGCGUCCCGAUGGCGUGGCGUCCUGAUGGCGUCCUGUUGGUCUGCAGACAAGGAGAAGAGACAUGAGGAAGAUCAUCAGGAUGUCUCUGUGUGUACAUCUAAUUGUUAGUGUGUCUGUGUGUAAAUCAAAUUGUUAUUGUGUCUUUGUGUACAUCUAAAUGUUAGUGUGUGUCUUUGUUUAGAACCAAAUGUUAGUGUGUGUGUGUACAUCUAAUUGUUAGUGCGUCUGUGUGUACAUCUAAAUAUUAAUGUGUCUUUGUGUACAUCUAAAUGUUAGUGUGUCUUUGUUUAGAACCAAAUGUUAGUGUGUCUGUGUGUACAUCUAAUUGUUAGUGUGUCUGUGUGUAGAUCUAACUGUUAGUGUGUCUGUGUGUACAUCUAAUUGUUAUUGUGUCUUUGUGUACAUCUAAAUAUUAGUGUGUGUCAUUGUUUAGAACCAAAUGAUAGUGUGUCUGAGUUCAUCUGUGUGUGUGUGUGUGUCAUGAGUAGAUCUGGAUUUGCUCCUGAGGGGUUGACGCGGCGUCCUGAUGGCGUCCCGAUUCAGAUUUGUCCUGAGGGCGUCCCGAUGACGUGGCAUCCUGAUGGCGUCCCGAUGACGUGGUGUCCUGAUGGCGUCCCGAUGGCGUGGCGUCCUGAUGAAGUCCUGUUGGUCUGCAGACAAGAAGAAGAGACAUGAGGAGGAUAAUCAGGAUGUGUCUGUGUGUACAUCUAAUUGUUAUUGUGUCUUUGUGUACAUCUAAAUAUUAGUGUGUGUCUUUGUUUAGAACCAAAUGUUAGUGUGUCUGUGUGUACAUCUAAUUGUUAGUGUGUCUGUGUGUACAUCUAAAUAUUAAUGUGUCUUUGUGUACAUCUAAAUGUUAGUGUGUGUCUUUGUUUAGAACCAUAUGUUAGUGUGUCUGUGUGUACAUCUAAUUGUUAGUGUGUCUGUGUGUAGAUCUAAUUGUUAAAGUGUCUGUGUGUACAUCUAAAUAUUAAUGUGUCUUUGUGUACAUCUAAAUGUUAGUGUGUGUCUUUGUUUAGAACCUAAUGUUAACGUGUCUGUGAGUACAUCUGUGUGUGUGUGUGUCAUGAGUAGAUCUGGAAUUGCUCCUGAGGGGUUGACGCGGCGUCCUGAUGGCGUCCCGAUGACGUGGCGUCCCGAUGACGUGGUGUCCUGAUGGCGUCCCGAUGGCGUCCUGUUGGUCUGCAGACAAGGAGAAGAGACGUGAGGAGGAUCAUCAGGAUGUGUCUGUGUGUACAUAUAAUUGUUAGUGUGUCUGUGUGUAGAUCUAAUUGUUAGUGUGUCCGUGUGUACAUCUAAUUGUUAGUGAGUCUGUGUGUAGAUCUAAUUGUUAGUGUGUCUGUGUGUACAUCUAAUUGUUAGUGUGUCUGUGUGUGGAUCUAAUUGUUAGUGUGUCUGUGUGUACAUCUAAUUGUUAGUGUCUGUGUGUACAUCUAAAUGUUAGUGUGUCUGUGUGUACAUCUAAAUAUUAAUAUGUCUUUGUGUACAUCUAAAUAUUAGUGUGUGUCUUUGUGUACAUCUAAAUGUUAGUGUGUGCCUUUGUUUAGAACCAAAUGAUAGUGUAUCUGUGUGUACAUCUAAUUGUUAGUGUGUCUGUGUGUACAUCUAAAUAUUAAUGUGUCUUUGUGUACAUCUAAAUGUUAGUGUGUGUCUUUGUUUAGAACCAAAUGUUAGUGUGUCUGUGUGUACAUCUAAUUGUACAUCUAAAUUUGCCAGCGUGUCUAAAUGUUAGUGUGUCUCUGAGUACAUCUGUGUGUGUGUGCGUGUGUGUGGGGGUGUGUGUGUGUGUCAUGAGUAGAUCUGGAUUUGCUCCUGAGGGGUUGACGCGGCGUCCUGAUGGCGUCCUGAUGGAAUCCUUAUGGCGUCCCUAUGACGUGGCGUCCUGAUAGCGUCCUGAUGGUGUCCCGAUGACGUAGCGUCCCGAUGACGUGGCGUCCUGAUGGCGUCCUGUUGGUCUGCAGACAAGGAGAAGAGACGUGAGGAUGGUCAUCAGGAUGUGUCUGUGUGUACAUCUAAUUGUUAGUGUGUAUGUGUGUAGAUCUAAUUGUUAGUGUGUCCGUGUGUACAUCUAAUUGUUAGUGUGUCUGUGUGUAGAUCUAAUUGUUAUUGUGUCUUUGUGUACAUCUAAAUAUCAGUGUGUGUCUUUGUUUAAAACCAAAUGAGUGUGUCUGUGUGUACAUCUAAUUGUUAGUGUGUCUGUGUGUACAUCUAAAUGUUAGUGUGUCUGUGUGUACAUCUAAAUAUUAAUAUGUCUUUGUGCACAUCUAAAUAUUAGUGUGUCUUCGUUUACAACCAAAUGUUAGUGUGUCUGUGAGUUCAUCUGUGUGUGUGUGUGUGUGUCAUGAGUAGAUCUGCAUUUGCUCCUGAGGGGUUGACGCGGCGUCCUGAUGGCGUCCCGAUGACGUGGUGUCCUGAUGGCGUCCCGAUGACGUGGCGUCCUGAUGGCGUCCUGUUGGUCUGCAGACAAGGAGAAGAGACAUGAGGAGGAUCAUCAGGAUGUGUCUGUGUGUACAUCUAAUUGUUAUUGUGUCUUUGUGUACAUCUAAAUAUUAGUGUGUGUCUUUGUGUACAUCUAAAUGUUAGUGUGUGUCAUUGUUUAGAAUCAAAUGAUAGUGUGUCUGUGUGUACAUCUAACUGUUAUUGUGUCUUUGUGUACAUCUAAAUAUUAGUGUGUGUCUUUGUUUAGAACCAAAUGAUAGUGUGUCUGUGUGUACAUCUAAUUGUUAGUGUGUCUGUGUGUACAUCUAAAUAUUAAUGUGUCUUUGUGUACAUCUAAAUGUUAGUGUGUGUCUUUGUUUAGAACCAAAUGUUAGUGUGUUUGUGUGUACAUCUAAAUUUGCCAGCGUGUCUAAAUGUUAGUGUGUCUCUGAGUACACCUGUGUGUGUGUCUGUGUGUGUCAUGAGUAGAUCUGGAUUUGCUCCUGAGGGGUUGACGCGGCGUCCUGAUGGCGUCCUGAUGGAAUCCUGAUGACGUCCCGAUGGCGUGGCGUCCUGAUGGCGUCCUGUUGGUCUGCAGACAAGGAGAAGAGACGUGAGGAUGGUCAUCAGGAUGUGUCCGUGUAUCUAAUUGUUAGUGUGUCUGUGUGUACAUCUAAAUAUUAAUGUGUCUUUGUGUACAUCUAAAUGUUAGUGUGUGUCUUUGUUUAGAACCAAAUGUUAGUGUGUCUUUGUGUACAUCUAAAUAUUAGUGUGUGUCAUUGUUUGGAACCAAAUGAUAGUGUGUCUGUGUGUAGAUCUCAUUGUUAGUGUGUCUGUGUGUACAUCUAAUGGUUAUUGUGUCUUUGUGUACAUCUAAUUGUUAUUGUGUCUUUGUGUACAUUUAAAUAUUAAUGUGUCUUUGUGUACAUCUAAAUGUUAGUGUGUGUCUUUGUUUAGAACCAAAUGUUAGUGUGUCUGUGUGUACAUCUAAUUGUUAGUGUGUCUGUGUGUGGAUCUAAUUGUUAGUGUGUCUGUGUGUACAUCUAAUUGUUUGUGUGUCUGUGUUUAGAACCAAAUGUUAGUGUGUCUGUGUGUACAUCUAAUUGUUAGUGUGUCUGUGUGUACAUCUAAUUGUUAUUGUCUUUGUGUACAUCUAAAUAUUAGUGUGUGUCAUUGUUUAGAACCAAAUGAUAGUGUGUCUGUGUGUAGAUCUCAUUGUUAGUGUGUCUGUGUGUACAUCUAAUGGUUAUUGUGUCUUUGUGUACAUCUAAAUAUUAGUGUGUGUCAUUGUUUAGAACCAAAUGAUAGUGUGUCUGUGUGUACAUCUGUGUGUGUGUGUGUGUGUGUGUGUGUGUGUGUGUGUGUGUG